rnacentral:rRNA from 4 species
GCCGUAAACGAUGAGUGCUAGGUGUUAGGGGUUUCGAUGCCCUUAGUGCCGAAGUUAACACAUUAAGCACUCCGCCUGGGGAGUACGACCGCAAGGUUGAAACUCAAAGGAAUUGACGGGGGCCCGCACAAGCAGUGGAGCAUGUGGUUUAAUUCGAAGCAACGCGAAGAACCUUACCAGGUCUUGACAUCCUUUGACCACUCUAGAGAUAGAGCUUUCCCCUUCGGGGGACAAAGUGACAGGUGGUGCAUGGUUGUCGUCAGCUCGUGUCGUGAGAUGUUGGGUUAAGUCCCGCAACGAGCGCAACCCUUGAUCUUAGUUGCCAGCAUUCAGUUGGGCACUCUAAGGUGACUG